rnacentral:rRNA from 1 species
UACGUAGGGUGCAAGCGUUGUCCGGAAUUAUUGGGCGUAAAGAGCUCGUAGGCGGUCUGUCACGUCGGCUGUGAAAACCCGAGGCUCAACCUCGGGCCUGCAGUCGAUACGGGCAGACUAGAGUUCGGUAGGGGAGACUGGAAUUCCUGGUGUAGCGGUGGAAUGCGCAGAUAUCAGGAGGAACACCGGUGGCGAAGGCGGGUCUCUGGGCCGAUACUGACGCUGAGGAGCGAAAGCGUGGGGAGCAAACAGG